CUCAGCCUAGGCCAUGGGCGCUUGUGCUGCACGCUCAGUUCAGAAAACAGGAAAGCAAAAGAAAACUCGAGAAAAAAAUGAGAAAGAUCAUAGCCCAGAAAGCCCACACCAGCCGAGCACUCCAAGGCCAGGAAGGUCUCGUGUGCAGUGGAGCCAGCUCAGUGUGUCCCAAAGACAAAGGCAAACUCAGUGUCCUCACACAGCAUGUAGGAGCGAGCUACCUCAGCGCAACCUGGGCUUGGGGUCUGUGCCAGCUAUAAACCUGUCAGCUUUGCCAGCAGGCAGCACAGCCUCAGGGACUUCUUAAUGAAAAGAAGGCUUGGAUGAAAAUACAAGGCAACUGCUUACUACC
rnacentral:lncRNA from 1 species